AUCCACCUUCUUUGUGAAUAUGAAUUCAGAGUAAAGAAGCCAUAGCUCUCCUCAUUUCUUGUUGAGAGUGAAUGGCAGAAUACUCUACCAUGAUAUUGUCUACAUGUGGGGAAACAGACAACCAAGUAUUUUAUGAGAGUUAAGCUAUCAUCCAAGAAUGGAAACAACAAAGAUGUAUUUCUCUUUCUCUUCAAACUUCUUUAACAUGUCCUGGCUUAGCUGUUCUCCUUGAUUUUCCAGAAGAAGAAUCUUCUCUAGGUGGAACGCCUCUCUGCCUGAGGUGACUAACCCCACCAUGCUUUGUAACCUGCCUGUGUCUUUGCAAAAUCUUUUCCCUCCGUCUUCAGAACACAGAUCAGAUACCAUCUAUUUAGGAAGUCUUCCUGAGUCCUAGAAAUAUAUAGCUAAAAUAGAAAUAUUUGAAAAGAGGAAAACCUGAAGGUCAACAAUAUAAAUGAACCACAAAAUGUACUCAAAGAAAACAAAAGAAGAAAAAUA